rnacentral:tRNA from 1 species
GCCCCUUUAGCUCAGUUGGUUAGAGCAUCUGACUCUUAAUCAGAGUGUCCAGGGUUCGAAUCCCUGAGGGGGCACCU